GGCGCAGGGGGUUACCAUGAUCGUGAAGCUGGUUUUCCCAGGGGGGCCUUAUCCACCACAAUCGAGAUGUGCUGACCCCUGCGAUUUCCCCAAAUGAGGGAAACUCAAGUGUCUAAUUUGUGGUAGCAGCGGGGGGGGUGGGGGAUGGCGACAGUCGUGCUUUCCCCCA